UAUCGAACACACUAAAAUAAUAUUAUAUAUAUAUAUAUAUAUAUAUUUUUUUUUUUAAACAUUCGCUCUUUAAGUAAAAUAUCGACGCAGUUCUCCCACUGCCUCCCCCCCGACAAAAGGAACACAAUAAAUACCAUAUUAUACAAAAUAAUAGUCUUAAGAAUUAUUAUUAAAAAAAAAAAAAAAAAAAACAUUUUUUUUCCCAUAUUAAAUAGAAAUGAAUUAAAAAAAAAAAAAAAAAACCGAUAUAAUUGUCAUCCUUUCGUAUAGUUUAAAACAAUAAAACUUAAUAAAUUAAACGUUAUUUUCAGCAACUUUUUUUCUUUUUUUUUUAUUAGAAAAUAUCAUAAUAUGUAUAUUAUAAUCAUAAUCGCGGUACAACAAUAUUAAGAAAAAAAAAAAAAUCGGAGACACGACCGUCGAACACCAUCAUCAGUACAAACGUUAUUAAUUACUAUAAGUUAUUUUAAUAUAUAUUAUUAUUAUUAUUUUUUUUUUUUACAAUAUGGCACAAACAUUGUUUUUUUUUUUUUUUUCAUGCGGUUUUUAUACUCGAUACAUUAUUUUUUUAUAUAUAUAUAUAUAGAUUAUUAUUAUAAUUCAUAAGCAUCGAGCAGCGCGUCGUUUAGUAGAAAAAAAAAAAAACAAAAACGAUCACAUUCAAUAAUUGUCGGCCGACGGUCCGCGGCAAACGUGCCUGCGUUAAUUGUAUUACACGAGUAUUUUCGGAACGAAUGCCGCGCACUCUGUACGCGUAGUGUUUGACAAUAAUAGGUAAUAAUAAUAAUAGUAAUAAUAAUAAUAAUAAUAAUAAUAAUAAUAAUAAUAAUAAUAGAAUAGGUACAGCUAAGGUAUACUAUUAUAUAGUUUUUAAAAUUUUUUUUUUUGUUUUU